AUCGUCUCCUCCACAUUCAUUCAUUCAUUCAUAUUUACACGCAUUUUCAGACAUUGAUUCAGAGAGAGGGUUCGCAGUUUAAGGAUCUUUUCCUCUUUACCUGCUCAAACUCAACGAACUUUUCGCUUUCUUUUUUCUCAUUUUUUAUUAUUAUAAUUCCUUUUUUUUAUUUUUGUUAUUUUCGUUUCCAUUUACUUUCUUUCUAUCCAAACAUGAACUCUUCUUCGACCAUUACAACAAGUACUCAUUUUCAUUCUUCAUCUUCUUGUACCAAAAUAUUGCGAAAACGUUAUGAUAAUUACGAAACUAGACACAGUGCACUGAAAUUCAACGCAGAAAACGAGAAGAACAAGUUCUUGAUCUUGUCGCUGAAAAGCAUCAAAAACUACGGUUUCAGUCCCAAGUCUCCGUCAAAGUUACAUGCUCGAAACCCUAGCUUGCCGGCGGAGGUUGAGUUUGAGAGGCCGUUAGAGACCGAUGGUCUCGUUGUCGCCGAUAAACUUCAGCUACUGGUUUUGGAAUUCAAGUCUCUGGAUGAACCAUUGGACCGCGUCAAACGGCUGCUUCACUACGCGGCGAUUCUUCCACCAUACGAUGAGUCGGCGAGGGUGGCGGAGAACCGAGUCGUGGGGUGUGCGACUCAGGUUUGGUUGGAGGUGGAGAUGGACGAUUUGGGCAGAAUGAGAUUCAGAGCGGAUAGCGAUUCGGAGAUAUCGAAAGGGUUCUGUUCGUGCCUGAUUUGGAUGCUGGAUGGUGCGAAGCCCGAGGAGGUUUCGGAGAUGAGGGCGGAGGAUUUGGAGCAUGUGAAUGUGGGUCUGUACGUGAAAGCGAAUUCCAGAGUGAACACGUGGCAAAACGUGUUGAUCAGUAUGCAGAAGAGGACAAAAGCUUUGGUUAUGGAAAGGGGAGGAAAAAACCCUCCAUUGUUGGAGCCUUUGCCUUCUUUGAUUGUAAACCAUGGAAGUUCCGCCGAAGCUCAGAUUCAAACCACAAGAUGGAAGGAACUGGAUGCCAAUUUAUCAUUGUUCUAGAUUGGAUUCGAGGUCUCCAACUUGUGGGCAUUUUCUGUUCAGGUUUUAGAAAGGGCUGCUUGUUUCCUACUAGGUUGGUACUGCCAGAAUUGCAGACGUUCGAUGAAAGACAAUCUCUAAUGAGUAAAUGAACUCGUCUGUGGGAUCUCCUUCCUCCAUUUUGAUGUGGGUCUCUUGCAAAAUGGAUAUCAUUAUCUUUUCCAACUGGUAAAACCGAGCCAAUUUUCAAGUAAGAAUUACUAGCUAGUCUAGGUGUUUCUAUACAUCACUGGGUAAAGCUGCCGUUUUGUCAAGAAAAUUUGUAGUGGGAAAUGCUGUACAAAUUUGAUGGUACUGACAUAUCUCUAUGUCUGCCUCAUAUCUUUUUGUAUGUAAUGUAUUUUAGUGGCAAAAUGUUCUUAGUUAAACAGAUCCAAAGUUCAACUUUAUUCUCUAAUGAAAGGCACAUUUUUUAGUGUUCAAAA